rnacentral:lncRNA from 1 species
GGUUAAUUGACAGGUGAUGGAAAUGAGCAUCUUCAGUGUAGACACUGCAGGUCUUUGGAUAGUAAGUGAUUUUUACGUUGAAGUCUGCACAUGCUCUUAUUGUCUGUCUCAGUGCCUUAUUUAAACUGUGCUGUAGCUGGAAUCCUGUGACACCACCACAUCAGAGGGAAGAGGAGAGGCGCUAAUCCCCGAGUGAAUGGAGAGUCUCCAUCUUCAUCUGCCUUGCUUGAUUUCCACAAAUGCCUCGGUCACAGGGAAACUUCAUGUGAUUUCUCAUCAAGGAUGGAACGUGGGAUUCUGAGCAGGACUGCAUUGUUGCCUUCUGGCCUGGGAAGACGUCAGGUGGAUUGCUUCUUCCCUUCUAAUAUUUGUUCAACAAUCACUUCACCAGUGAGGUAA